rnacentral:lncRNA from 1 species
GCGCAAAAAAGAGUGAUAAGAAAGUUUAGUCCUAUACCCUCCACCACAAACUCCUUAUCAUCAUCCAUCCGUGACCUCACCUCACCCCGACGACGGCGAGGAUGGGAACGCGUCCUUGACGGCGGAGGCGGCGGUGAGGUAGUUGAGGGUGUUGCGCAGCGUGUCCCGCUCCCUGCGCAGCCUUGCGGCGGUGUCCUCGAGCUCGAGCAGCGCCUGCUGCUCCCGGGGCGCGCCCUCGAAGGUGUUGCCGACGUAGAAGGAGAAGGGCGUGGGGAAGAGGCCCCUGCGCAGGUCGCCCACCUCCUUCUCGGGCUUGCCGUUGAGUCGGUUGGCGAUUCGUAUGACGUCCCGCAUGAGGGCCUCGACGUCGGCGGCGAGCGCCUCGGCAUC